rnacentral:snRNA from 1 species
UGCUUGCUUAGGCAGCAAUAUAGUAAUACUGGAAUGGUACAGAAAAGAUUAGCACAGCUCCUGUGCAAGGAUGACAUGUAAAGUCAUGAAACAUUCCGUUUAAAA